CACAAUCGCUGACGGACGGGAAAGUGCCCCAGUAGGCUGUGCAAAUUUCACAGAUUCAGACCUACAGGAAAUCAGCCUGUCGAUGCUGUGCUCCUCGUCCGAGGCUCUCCUGUGUGAUAACAGCAAAACAAGGACGGAUGUAUUUAAUCAGCUGAAGAACAAAUUCAGUAACCUGUUGGAAGGGCAAAUCAAGUGGCGUCUUGAGCAAUAAAGGAAACAAGGAUACGACACUUCGCGUUUCCUGCGAUUUAGUCGUAAAAACUUCAAGAUUGUGCUUCAGUAAAAUGUACAGCGACUUUUCUGAUCAGAAUUGUGAUGCGUGAUUA